rnacentral:rRNA from 1 species
CUACGGUGAAUACGUUCCCGGACCUUGUACACACCGCCCGUCAAGCCAUGGAAGCUGGGUGUACCGAAAGUCGGUAACCGUAAGGAGCCGCCUAGGGUAAAACUAGUAACUGGGGCU